UUCACGCUUCUCAGCCUGGCCCCUGAUGAUCAGCAAACUCUUGCUCCCCCGGAGCAGGCGCUGCAGCUGUGGUUUGUCUGGCAGCGGUGUGUGGAGGUGGAGAGGGCAGAACUGGCGAAGGCAGGACGGCGAGCCCUUGGGGGUGUUGAGGCGGACCUCCGCAUCCUUGCACAGAAGAGCUGCCCGGACUUCCCCGGUGCUGCACAGGAAGAGCUGGCUCAGCAAGCCUAUAUCCAGGCACUAACACAAGGGUGGCUCCAUCAGCAUAUCUAAUUGCGGGUGCCGGCCAUGCUCACCAAGGCCCUGGAGGAGGCGGAGUGGGCCGUGGAAAUCCUGUCCCCGGCAGCCACCCCGUUCCAAACCUGUAUCUGCGCCUCUGGGGGCUCCGACAGCCAAGAGGGACAGAUUGUCACAGCAGAGACGCUGCCUGACAGCCGCUGCUCCCUGCUACCGCUGCGGAGAGGCUGGGCACCUCGCCCACGUCACAAACAACUGCCGCAGUAAAACAUGCCAGACCGACCCCAACAGCUGCACCCAGAGUGGGGUGACUUGACGAGGCUACUUCCCUGUAUGUUGACUGCCUGGUGGACGAGACACUCUGCCAAGCCCUAGUGGACACAGGGUCCACCAUCACCCUGAUCCGCCUGGGCAUGCUACCAGGUACUGGCGGGGCUGUGCUGGCCGGCUGGGAGAUGACCAAUGUGUGGUUGACGUCACUGACUGGGCCAGCAAGAACAAGGAAGGCGGCAGGAACAGGGAUCGCUGUUUGUGGAAGAAGAGAUGGAUACAUCUGAGAUUUCAACAGUGAGAGCACUGGCACCUGACUACGGAUCAAAUUACAGCUGUCCUCUAUAUUGACGAGUGUCGACAGUUCAGUCAAAGCCUGAACCACAUCCUGUGACAACUCAACCUGGCCCAAAACUGACCUUAAAAUAACCAUGUCCUGGUUGAUAACAAAUUGCAUAUAGACCACA